rnacentral:ncRNA from 1 species
UUUUUUGAGAGUUUGAUCCUGGCUCAGGAUGAACGCUGGCGGCGUGCCUUAAGCAUGCAAGUCGAACGAUCCUUCGUUCCACCUUGCGGUGGAACUACGGACUCGCAAGCGGUUUGGAAACAAAUCAGCUUGCUACCCGUAGCUCAAACGCAGUGCGGAGCGGAGGGUAGUGGCGGACGGGUGAGUACAAGCAAGGAACGUACCCCCUGUUGGGACAUAGCUCACCGAAAGGUGGGGUAAUUUCCCAUGAAGUAACUAAUAACAAUCAGCAAACAACUGCUAUUUUAUAAAAUUUUAAAAAUUACCGGUUGUCGGUUGUUUGUUAUUAGUUACUAAAGGGCGUAACUGCUCGACGGAGGAGCGGCCUUGUGCCUAUCAGCUUGUUGGUAGGGUAAUGGCCUACCAAGGCUACGACGGGUAGGGGGCGUGAGAGCGUGGCCCCCCACAAUAGCACUGAGACACGGGCUAUACAUCUACGGAUGGCAGCAACUGGGAAUAUUCGGCAAUGGGCGAAAGCCUGACCGAGCGACGCCGCGUGAGGGAAGNNNNNNNNNNNNNNNNNNNNNNNNNNNNNNNNNNNNNNNNNNNNNGGAGAAUAAGCGCCUACAAACUACGUGCCAGCAGUCGCGGUAAUACGUAGGGUGCAAGCGUUAUCCGGAUUCACUGGGCGUAAAGAGUAGUGUAGGCGGUUUUCCGCAUCGUACUUGAAAGCCCGAGGCUUAACCUCGGUGUUGGGUACGAGAUGGGAAGACUGGAGGGAGGCAGAGGAAAGGGGAACUGAUGGUGGAGUAGUGAAAUGCGUUGAUAUCAUCAGGAACACCGAAGGCGAAGGCACCUUUCUGGACCUCUCCUGACGCUGAGACACGAAAGCUAGGGUAGCGAAGCAGAUUAGAGACCUGCGUAGUCCUAGCCCUAAACGCAU